CUCGUAGGCGGCCAACUAAGUCAGACGUGAAAUCCCUCAGCUUAACUGGGGAACUGCGUCUGAUACUGGAUGGCUUGGAUUCGGGAGAGGAAUGCGGAAUUCCAGGUGUAGCGGUGAAAUGCGUAGAUAUCUGGAGGAACACCGGUGGCGAAGGCGGCAUUCUGGACCGACAUUGACGCUGAGGAGCGAAAGCCAGGGGAGCAAAC
rnacentral:rRNA from 1 species